rnacentral:rRNA from 1 species
GUAAGGAAUAUUGGACAAUGGUCGCAAGACUGAUCCAGCCAUGCCGCGUGCAGGAAGACGGCCCUAUGGGUUGUAAACUGCUUUUGUACCAGAGAAAACCUAUCUACGUGUAGAUAGCUGAUAGUAUGGUAAGAAUAAGCAUCGGCUAACUUCGUGCCAGCAGCCGCGGUAAGACGAAGGAUGCAAGCGUUAUCCGGAUUCAUUGGGUUUAAAGGGUGCGUAGGCGGGCUUGUAAGUCAGUGGUGAAAUCUCUCAGCUUAACUGAGAAACUGCCAUUGAUACUGCAGGCCUAGAGUAUAGAUGACGUUGGCGGAAUAUGACAUGUAGUGGUGAAAUACUUAGAUAUGUCAUAGAACACCGAUUGCGAAGGCAGCUAACGAAACUAUAACUGACGCUGAGGCACGAAAGUGCGGGGA